rnacentral:lncRNA from 1 species
UGAGAUAUAAAAAGGUUUUAAGAAUGAAAGGAGAAGAUUUGGUGGAUACAACUGAAAAAAUAGACUCAACAAUAGGUUGUCUGCGAUAGACAUCAACCAAUAUGGUGUUCAACUGGUUGAAUAACACACGAAUGUAUUUUGGUAGAUUUGAUUGACUUGGAAACAGUCCCCAUAACCCAAUACCUGAUAGGUUGAUGUUGCAUUUCAUGCGCAAGAAAGAAUUCCAUGCAUUGUGUAGAUUUCGAUAUUAAGGGGUUAAAUUUGCACCUAUUAUGGCCAGUUCCCAACCAUCCAAAGAUUUUAGGUCAAAAAGAAAGAAGAUUAACCGAUGGAUUAAAAAGCAUCCAUUCGAAACAAAAGCAAAAGAGGUCUUCACCCAAAAACUUCCUCAUAUGCCAUUUGGAAUGAGAUUUUUAAAGAACUUCUUCUUGAAUUGGUUAGGUCUUUGUUCCUGAUGUCAUUAGAUAAUACCAGCAAUUAGAUAAUCGACUCAGCAGAUUAUAUGCUCCCAACAUAUUCCAUAGUUGUUAAACACAUCGGGAUCCAAUAAGUGAACCGCUCACUAGGAAGAGAUCGCCAGAAACAAUUACUAUUUUUUUUUUUGCCGUGAAACAGGGGAUUAGAUCCCUCCAACUCCACAGAGAUCUGGCCAUGCUCCCUAUAUUAAGCUUUAUUACCAACAAAAUAUACACCCUCGCGGUUAACAGAGGAUAAGCGCUGUCUAACAGAGCAUUUUUAGUCAAAAAAAA